rnacentral:tRNA from 2 species
CCAGCCGUGGCCGAGCGGUUAAGGCGAUGGACUAGAAAUCCAUUGGGGUCUCCCCGUACAGGUUUGAAUCCUGUCGACUGCG